GAGCACCGGUCUCCAAAACCGGGGGUUGCAGGUUCAAGUCCUGCCGGGCCUG
rnacentral:tRNA from 1 species